rnacentral:rRNA from 1 species
AGAGUUUGAUCAUGGCUCAGAUUGAACGCUGGCGGCAGGCCUAACGCAUGCAAGUCGAGCGGUAGAGAGAAGCUUGCUUCUCUUGAGAGCGGCGGACGGGUGAGUAAUGCCUAGGAAUCUGCCUGGUAGUGGGGGAUAACGCUCGGAAACGGACGCUAAUACCGCAUACGUCCUACGGGAGAAAGCAGGGGACCUUCGGGCCUUGCGCUAUCAGAUGAGCCUAGGUCGGAUUAGCUAGUUGGUGAGGUAAUGGCUCACCAAGGCGACGAUCCGUAACUGGUCUGAGAGGAUGAUCAGUCACACUGGAACUGAGACACGGUCCAGACUCCUACAGGAGGCAGCAGUGGGGAAUAUUGGACAAUGGGCGAAAGCCUGAUCCAGCCAUGCCGCGUGUGUGAAGAAGGUCUUCGGAUUGUAAAGCACUUUAAGUUGGGAGGAGGGGCAGUAAAUUAAUACUUUGCUGUUUUGACGUUACCGACAGAAUAAGCACCGGCUAACUCUGUGCCAGCAGCCGCGGUAAUACAGAGGGUGCAAGCGUUAAUCGGAAUUACUGGGCGUAAAGCGCGCGUAGGUGGUUCGUUAAGUUGGAUGUGAAAUCCCCGGGCUCAACCUGGGAACUGCAUUCAAAACUGACGAGCUAGAGUAUGGUAGAGGGUGGUGGAAUUUCCUGUAGCGGUGAAAUGCGUAGAUAUAGGAAGGAACACCAGUGGCGAAGGCGACCACCUGGACUGAUACUGACACUGAGGUGCGAAAGCGUGGGGAGCAAACAGGAUUAGAUACCCUAGUAGUCC